rnacentral:rRNA from 1 species
CCUACGGGAGGCAGCAGUGGGGAAUCUUGCGCAAUGGGCGAAAGCCUGACGCAGCCAUGCCGCGUGAAUGAUGAAGGUCUUAGGAUUGUAAAAUUCUUUCACCGGGGACGAUAAUGACGGUACCCGGAGAAGAAGCCCCGGCUAACUUCGUGCCAGCAGCCGCGGUAAUACGAAGGGGGCUAGCGUUGCUCGGAAUUACUGGGCGUAAAGGGAGCGUAGGCGGAUAGUUUAGUCAGAGGUGAAAGCCCAGGGCUCAACCUUGGAAUUGCCUUUGAUACUGGCUAUCUUGAGUACGGAAGAGGUAUGUGGAACUCCGAGUGUAGAGGUGAAAUUCGUAGAUAUUCGGAAGAACACCAGUGGCGAAGGCGACAUACUGGUCCGUUACUGACGCUGAGGCUCGAAAGCGUGGGGAGCAAACAGGAUUAGAUACCCUGGUAGUCCACGCUGUAAACGAUGAGUGCUAGUUGUCGGCAGGCAUGCCUGUCGGUGACGCAGCUAACGCAUUAAGCACUCCGCCUGGGGAGUACGGUCGCAAGAUUAAAACUCAAAAUGAAUUGACGG